rnacentral:rRNA from 1 species
CACGUAGGGACCAAGCGUUGUCCGGAUUCAUUGGGCGUAAAGAGCUCGUAGGCGGCUCAGUAAGUCGGGUGUGAAACCUCCAGGCUCAACCUGGAGACGCCACCCGAUACUGCUGUGGCUAGAGUCCAGUAGGGGAGCGUGGAAUUCCUGGUGUAGCGGUGAAAUGCGCAGAUAUCAGGAAGAACACCCGUGGCGAAGGCGGCUCUCUGGGACGGUACUGACGCUGAGACGCGAAAGCGUGGGGAGCGAACAGG